GCAACUCGCCUACACGAAGUCGGAAUCGCUAGUAAUCGCGGAUCAGCAUGCCGCGGUGAANACGUUCCCGGGCCUUGUACACACCGCCCGUCACACCAUGGGAGUUUGUAACGCCCAAAGUCGGUGGCCUAACCUUUAUGGAGGGAGCCGCCUAAGGCGGGACAGAUGACUGGGGUGAAGUCGUAACAAGGUAAC
rnacentral:rRNA from 1 species